CCCGUGAACUCAUACUAACCUGUGUGGUGCGGGGUAGGCGCACUCAUGUGCCUCCACCCCUUGCCCGCAAGCCCGGGCGCGCCCAAUGCUACACCGAACUCGUUUUCAUGCUAGCAGAGGGUGCUCCUACGGGCACUUCAACGAACCCCGGCGCGGAAUGCGCCAAGGAAUUCAUAACGAACUUAGCACACCGCUAGCUGACUCGUGCGGCAGCGGUGCAGCAAACUUCGAUACCUAAACGACUCUCGGCAACGGAUAUCUCGGCUCUCGCAUCGAUGAAGAACGUAGCGAAAUGCGAUACUUGGUGUGAAUUGCAGAAUCCCGUGAACCAUCGAGUUUUUGAACGCAAGUUGCGCCCGAAGCCACUCGGCCGAGGGCACGUCUGCCUGGGCGUCACGUAUCGCGUCGCUCCCCCAAGCCUGCCCACCCAUGGGCACGGUGCAGAGGAAGCGGAGAUUGGCCUCCCAUGCCCCAUGCACGGUUGGCCUAAAUGCAAGCCUCAGGGUGACGAAAGGGUCACGACAAGCGGUGGUUGAUCAUACCUCGGCCCUUGUUGCGUCGUGCCCGUCCGCACCCCAUCGAGCUCAGCAUCCCCGACGCGUCGUCUCGACGGCGUUUGCUUCGCGACC
rnacentral:rRNA from 1 species